AGAGUUUGAUCCUGGCUCAGGAUGAACGCUAGCUACAGGCUUAACACAUGCAAGUCGAGGGGAAACGACAUCGAAAGCUUGCUUUUGAUGGGCGUCGACCGGCGCACGGGUGAGUAACGCGUAUCCAACCUGCCCACCACUUGGGGAUAACCUUGCGAAAGUAAGACUAAUACCCAAUGAUAUCUCUAGAAGACCAUCUGAAAGAGAUUAAAGAUUUAUCGGUGAUGGAUGGGGAUGCGUCUGAUUAGCUUGUUGGCGGGGUAACGCCACAAGGCGACGAUCAGUAGGGGUUCUGAGAGGAAGGUCCCCCANAUUGGAACUGAAGACACGGUCCAAACUCCUACGGGAGCA
rnacentral:rRNA from 1 species